UCCCCGCUAGCUCAGUUGGUAGAGCGCGUCACUAGUAAGUCACGUUCGAUGACGAGGUCAGUCGUUCGAGUCGGCUGUGGGGAA